rnacentral:SRP_RNA from 1 species
GCCGGGCAUGGUGGCUCAUGCCUGUAAUCCCAGCAUUUUGGGAGGCCGAGGUAGGUGGAUCACCUGAGGUCAGGAGUUUGAGACCAGCCUGGCCAACAUGGUGAAACCCCAUCUCUA